AUCGAAGAGGUUUUGUUCUAACAAACAUGUGAUGCGCAUCUUUGGAAAACCAGGUGAUACGCACGCCAACUACCUAUAUCUGCCAUCCCAGUUUCCCCGCCAUACGACACUACAGGCAUCACAGCGCUUACAGGCGCUAACCUGCUGUUUGAAAUGCUCUGUGUUCUUCCCGGUGUUAAAUACUACAAGCAUUAGGGUUCGAAAGCUAUGGAUCUACGCAAGUUAGAGCCAUUAGCACAACAGGGUCUCAAUUAAAGUCGGCAGUGCCUUCUAUUUCACGUUGGGCCACCGGCUUGAUGAAAAUAAUAAUAUGACUUAUUUAGAAACAUUUUUCCCUUAACUUUUCCUUCAACUUGCUGACUUCAUUAUUUUUUUCUCCUUAAUUUUUAAAUUUUUUAAACUGUUUUAGUGUGGACGGGUGUAGUCAUAUAUAAAGUCAUGAUAGUUUGUUAUAGCCAUAGGGUAGGAGGGUGAUAAAUAUGUGCUGUAAUGGUUUAGUAGAUUAACUUUUAAAUGUAGACGUCUAUGGACGUUUCCACAGACAAAAGGCUUAGUGGGGGAGAUGGUUCAUAAAAAAUAAGUCUUACCGACGCUUCGGUCGUUAUGAUUUAAACAUUGAUAUGAAAAGGGUGUAUUUGUAGAUUUACCCAAAAAAAUUCCGAAACAAUGUUAGUUGUCCGGUUCCCUUUUUUUCUGCCUUAGAAAUGCUACGUGUCAUUGCGCGCCAUUGUAUGCCAUCAGCAUUUUUCCUUUAUAGUUUGCGUGAAUGUUUUAAGUAGAACGCUUCACUCUUCACGCAUCUUUUAGUGGGCCUUAGGUAGCUUCGCCACCUGAGCGGGCUAAUUACCCAUUCUGCGCGUUGUUUAAGCGGUCGGGUGUCAUGUCUGGCUAUUUGAAAUUCAAAGAGAGUCGUUUUGACCCGGGGGGGGGGGGGGGGGUUCUUCAGGGUAAAAGUUUUGAUCUCAUUGUCAAUUUGUAAAGCCAACAGAAAUAGAGAUGCACAUGAAAGACACUCUUCUUCGUAAACAGGAACUACAAUGAUAACACCACAGGUUGGCCGCAGUGUGUCCGUUUGUUUCUCAGUUACAAAGCACAAAACCUUUGGGACAAGGCGGUCCCUGUUUUGUCACUUGUUUGUUUCUUUUCUUUUUUUUAUCUAUUUUAAGGAUACAAAAAAUAAUAUAACAAGCUCGGGUUUGAAGGAGUAUUUGAGGAGGAUUUUCUGUGGCUCUUGCCGUCGCCACUCAUUAUGUCAUCUAACAAAACCAGUGACCAUCAAAUAAUAUGUAUUCGAUCAUCUGACCGUCAGAUGUCAGGCUGAAAGAAAAUUGUUCUGUUGUUUUUAAUAAAAAAAAUUGGCCAUAGA